rnacentral:tRNA from 1 species
UCGAAAUCGGUAGACGGUACGGACUUAAAAUCCGUUGGCUUUUUAGACCAUGAGGGUUCAAGUCCCUCUACCCCCA